rnacentral:rRNA from 1 species
UUCCAGCUCCAGUAGCGUAUAUUAAAGUUGUUGCAGUUAAAAAGCUCGUAGUUGGAUUUCUGGUUUCACAGAACUGGCCUACUUCCUCAAGGUCGUGUGCGCCGUGUUUUGUGUACCAUCCUUCUAGAAAUUGUGUUCCAUCCCUUCACUGGGAUAGAUCCGAGAUCUAGAUCUUUUACUUUGAAGAAAUUAGAGUGUUCAAAGCAGGCUCGCGCUGUGAAUACAUUAGCAUGGAAUAAUAAUUUAGGACUUGGUAUCCUAUUUUGUUGGUUUUCAGGAUCUAAGUAAUGAUUGAUAGGGAUAGUUGGGGGUGCUAGUAUUUUGCGGCCAGAGGUGAAAUUCUGUGAUUCGCGAAAGACUAACUUAUGCGAAAGCAUUCACCAAGGAUGUCUUCAUUG